rnacentral:rRNA from 1 species
CAGUAGCCACGGGAAUACAGAGGAUGCAAGCGUUAUCCGGAAUGAUUGGGCGUAAAGGGCUCGCAGGCGGUUUCUUAAGUCUGAUGUGAAAGCCCCCGGCUCAACCGGGGAGGGUCAUUGGAAACUGGGAAACUUGAGUGCAGAAGAGGAGAGUGGAAUUCCACGUGUAGCGGUGAAAUGCGUAGAGAUGUGGAGGAACACCAGUGGCGAAGGCGACUCUCUGGUCUGUAACUGACGCUGGGGAGCGAAAGCGUGGGGAGCGAACAGGAUUAGAUACCCCCGUAGUCCCUGUCUCUUAUAC